rnacentral:rRNA from 1 species
GAUGAACGCUGGCGGCGUGCCUAAUACAUGCAAGUCGAGCGAACGGACGAGAAGCUUGCUUCUCUGAUGUUAGCGGCGGACGGGUGAGUAACACGUGGAUAACCUACCUAUAAGACUGGGAUAACUUCGGGAAACCGGAGCUAAUACCGGAUAAUAUUUUGAACCUCAUGGUUCAAAAGUGAAAGACGGUCUUGCUGUCACUUAUAGAUGGAUCCGCGGUGCAUUAGCUAGUUGGUAAGGUAACGGCUUACCAAGGCAACGAUGCAUAGCCGACCUGAGAGGGUGAUCGGCCACACUGGAACUGAGACACGGUCCAGACUCCUACGGGAGGCAGCAGUAGGGAAUCUUCCGCAAUGGGCGAAAGCCUGACGGAGCAACGCCGCGUGAGUGAUGAAGGUCUUCGGAUCGUAAAACUCUGUUAUUAGGGAAGAACAUAUGUGUAAGUAACUGUGCACAUCUUGACGGUACCUAAUCAGAAAGCCACGGCUAACUACGUG